UCCACGUGUUUCUAUUCAACUACACCUCAAACUCCAACUAGCGCCUAUUUUUUCUAUUCAUCCCUCUAAUUUUCCUUCACCCACUUUCUCUAUCCUUCACAUUUGAAUUUGGCUUUCACAUUUUUGCGCUACACGUUCCCCUAAGAAACCCUAUCCUUUCCCCCAAAUCACAAUCCCUCAAUCUCAAUAUCUGAAAUCAAUUUCUGUAAGUAAUAUCUCUAUCUUCCCCAAAUUUCAUUGUGUCAAGUCUUUCAAUCUCUCUCUUUCUCUCUUCAACAAACAAUGGCAAACACUAGGCUUCGAUUUCACGUUUCAAGAUCUGUCACUUUUGGUUUUCACCAGAGACUCUAUUGUUCGGCUAUGGCAUCUCAAAGUCGAAGCGGCGGUGUUUCUCUACCUAACAGACCAAACAAUUCCCAAGACUCCAUCAUCACCUAGAUAUCGCGCUCCCCCAUCGCCUCCUGGAGCAAACAAGCCUACACUGACACCUCAAUCAUCCCUAACAAACUCCUCAAAAGCACCGAUCACUUGGAUCACUAGAACCACCUUCCUUGUGCUCUUCGUUCCUUUUAUCAACGAAAAGAAUUGUGAGCAGCAGCUCAACGAUCUUGAAGUCCAGCAGGCCAGUAUCCCUGGUACUCCUCCUAAAUGAUUGUCAUCACGUCUAUGAAAAUUAGGUCUUGGUAUGCAGAGAUAUCGAUUGUUUAUUGAUUAAGAAUUUUGAUCUCUUUUUAGGGUUUCUAAUUGCAAUAAUUGUAUGAUUUGCACGUUUUUAGGAAUUUCACAGUAAUUACAAGUUUUGUGUAUUCUUACGCAGUGAUACUAUUAUCUUAGUUUCAGUGUGGAAUUCUUGGUUACUUGAUUUGAUAAAUAAAAUAUGCAUAGGAAUGAAAUUCUAUUAUUCUAGAGACACCAUUUCAAGAUAGUUUGCUGAAGCAUGUUGCUAAAGAGAGACACAAUUUAAUGAGCAUAUUUAUAAUUUAUAUUUAGUUGGCCUUGUUUUAGAAGCUAUAUAUUUGAAUGUUGCUUAAGAAGUUAUGAGAGUUGGUUGCAUCAUAGGUGAUAGAAUUAGUGGGUUUGUCAUGGAGUUUUUGAGUCUUGGUAAGUUAAAUCUUAUUUUACAGGUGAUAGAAGAUGCAUUCUAAGUUUUAUUAUAUGAAACAUAAGCAUCUCCUGCGAAUUGUUAGUUAAAUGGCUUUACAAGAGAUUCUUGUUCGUACAGUAGGGGAAGAUGUCAUUAUGAAUUCCAGUAAUGUUGUUGAUUUUGUUGAUCAUGGAACUAAGGUAAUUAUAGAAACUUUUAAAUUGAAGAUACUCCUCACAUUCUAUUAUAGGUAUUAUUUUGAAGACUAAUAUGACUAGACAUUAUUUGGCUUAUGAAUCGUGUCACGUCACAUUCAUCAAUUAUGUUGUAGGUUUCAGUGGUGCUGGAGAAUUGUCAAAAAUAUGAUUGAGAUCUCUUGGUUGGAGCAGAUGGGAUUUGGUCCUAGGUCCUAUAAAAUUCUCUCUUUAAUUAUGAGUUUUUGGUUUAGUAUUGUGUUAAUUGUAUUAUUUUGUGAAUAGGUGAGGGCAAAGUUAUUCGGGGCAACAGAAGUUACAUACUCUGGCUACACUUGUUAUACUGGUAUAGCAUAUUUCAUGCCUCUUGACAUUGAAUCUGUUGGGUACCGAGUCUUCUUAGGACACAAACAAUAUAUUGUAUCAUCCGAUGUCGGUGCUGGAAAGAUGCAAUGAUACGCAUGGCGGUCAUCGAUGGUCUUCAAGCAACCAAAUUGAUUUGAUAUACAAGAAGGAACUCUUCCAAGAGAAACUCUAAUGCAGCCCUUAGAUACUAUUGUAUUUAGAUGGAUAAAAAUGCAAUGGUUAAUCUCAUGUAACUUUUAUAUAUAUAUAUA